rnacentral:rRNA from 1 species
GUGCCAGCAGCCGCGGUAAUACGGAGGGUGCAAGCGUUGCUCGGAAUUACUGGGCGUAAAGCGUACGCAGGCGGUCUGAUAAGUCGGGUGUGAAAGCCCCAGGCUCAACCUGGGAACUGCAUCCGAAACUGCCAGACUUGAGUUCGGGAGAGGGAAGUGGAAUUCCUGGUGUAGAGGUGAAAUUCGUUGAUAUCAGGAGGAACACCGGCGGCGAAAGCGGCUUCCUGGCCCGAUACUGACGCUCAUGUACGAAAGCGUGGGGAGCAAACAGGAUUAGAUACCCUGGUAGUCC